CGGUUGAUCCUGCCGGACCCCACUGCUAUCGGGAUGGGACUAAGACAUGCUAGUCGUGCGCUUCCAAGCCACGGUGGAAGCGCGGCGCACAGCUCAGUAGCACGUGGCUAACCUGCCCUUGGGACGGAAAUAACCCCGGGAAACUGGGGCUAAUUUCCGAUGGGUGAAGACUCCUGGAAUGGGUCUUCGCCGAAAGGGCGUCUAGACCAUGCUUCUAGACGCUGCCCAAGGAUGGGGCCGCGGCCGAUCAGGUUGUUGGUGAGGUAACGGCUCACCAAGCCUUUGACCGGUGCGGGCCGUGAGAGCGGGAGCCCGGAGAUGGGCACUGAGACAAGGGCCCAGGCCCUACGGGGCGCAGCAGUCGCGAAACCUCCGCAAUACACGAAGGUGUGACGGGGCCAUCCCGAGUGCCGUCCGCUGAGGACGGCUUUUCCCCAGUGUACACAGCUGGGGGAAUAAGGAGAGGGCAAGCCUGGUGUCAGCCGCCGCGGUAAUACCAGCUCUCCGAGUGGUGGGGACGCUUAUUGGGCCUAAAGCAUCCGUAGCCGGCUGGGCAAGUCCUCCGUUAAAUCCAACGAUUCAAUCGUUGGACUGCGGGGGAUACUGUCCAGCUUGGGGGCGGGAGAGGCCGACGGUAUUCCCGGGGUAGGGGUGAAAU
rnacentral:rRNA from 1 species